rnacentral:rRNA from 1 species
CCUACGGGUGGCAGCAGUGGGGGAUAUUGGACAAUGGGGGAAACCCUGAUCCAGCGACGCCGCGUGGGUGAUGAAGUAUUUCGGUAUGUAAAGCCAUAUCUGCAGGGAAGAAGACAUGACGGUACCUGAGUAAGAAGCACCGGCGAAAUACGUGCCAGCAGCCGCGGUAAUACGGAGGGUGCAAGUGUUAUCCGGGUUUACUGGGUUGAAAGGGAGCGCAGGCGGCAAGGCAAGCUUGAUGUGAAAGGCCGCGGCGCAACCACGGGACUGCGUUGGGAACUGGCGGGCUGGAGUGCCGGGGAGGGAGGCGGAAUUCCUAGUGUAGCGGUGAAAUGCGUAGAUAGUAGGAGGAACACCAGUGGCGAAGGCGGCCUACUGGACGGUGACUGACGCUGAGGCUCGAAAGCGUGGGGAGCAAACAGGAUUAGAUACCCUAGUAGUC